rnacentral:rRNA from 1 species
AUGGAGUUCUCCGUCGAGGAGGAACCGAGGUCGGGCGCGCCCCUGGCACUCGGGCUCGGGGAGGACGCCAUGGAGGCGGUAAGGAGAGCUUUCCCGGGUCAGGAUUUUGCUAUUGAUGUGGUGAACCGAGCUUUCGGUCGGCGGAAUCCGGCGGAGCGCAGCCAACAAGAUUCCUCUGCCUGUGGUAUCAGUGGAGCAUGUACAUCGGAAAAGCCUAUGGAUUUGGAGCAGGUGGAGAACGCUGGGAAGAGCUGUGCGCAACAGGAUCCCUCUGCCUCAGAAAUGCAGUUGAGAUCUCAGGAAGUGGAGCAAGCCGGUCAGCGCUGCGAUGCCCCUCCCGCACCUGCAGACGUAGGCACUGAAGCCGGCGGGCCUCCCGCACCUGCAGACGUAGGCGCUGAAGCCGGCGGGGGCUGGAACCGCAGGGUUAGGCGAGGCCGUAUCCCAGAUGAACGGGAACCGGAUGCCCAGCGAGUAAGUGCGCUAGAGAAGGCAUUGACUGGCUUUGCAGAGAGGCAGACUGAUGUUGUUGUUAAUCCAACAGUGGGGACCUGCUUCGAUUCGAUUACAGAGGCAUAUGAUUUUUAUAACCUCUAUUCCUGGGAAAUGGGGUUCGGUAUAAGGUACGGCAAGAGCAGGCGGAAUACAAAGGGAGGUAAAUGCAUGCAGGAAAUUACUUGCGUUAAUGCGGGUAAACCAAAUAUGGGCGGGAAAUCGCGCAGGUGCGAGUGCACAGCACUAAUUAGGCUACUCAGAACUGAUGACAAUGGAUGGUAUGUCACCCAGCAUAGGAAAGUGCAUAACCAUGCUUUUUCCACUACAUAUGGAAACAAGGUUCAUUGGCCAUCUCAUAAGCAUCUAGAUAAGUACACCAGGGAUUUGGUUCGUCAGUUAAGGCACAAUAAUGUUAAUUUAGGCGUGUACGAUACGAUUGCUUCUUUUUUUGGGCGAAUGGAGAAUGUCCCUUUCAAUAAGCGUUCGAUCAGGACACUGUGUGGGGAAGUUAUCCGUGAGCAAGCUGUUGACGAUGCUAGGAAGACCAUGGAGACAGCAGCUGCAUCUGGAGAAAGACCAGAAAACCAUACGGGGGAGGAGACGACAUUCAACUGUAUGGGCUUAGCCUCAACCACGGUUGGUUCCCCGAAUAUGCCGGUUGAGCCCCUGAGGUACCCUGAGCAGGACGAUACACACAGCAAUGCUGAGGCAGGCAGGCUGGCUGAUCUGUUGUUAGCUUUUGGGGAUUGUCACCUGGUGCUUAAAAGCUGCACCUAUGAUGAUCUCAUCAACUCCAACGGUACCAUGUCGGGUCUGGAAGAGGCAGUGAAGGCUGUUACACCCCAUCUUCAGCAGGGCAUUUUUGGUGACCUGUGGUCCAGGGCCCACAAUUCUGGAGGCGUCGUGUCAGCUCAGGUGCUGACCAUCAAGGACCUGUUCAGAUUCACGCGUUGGCUGACAACCACCACGGGCCAGCAUAAUCUGCGGUGCGUCCAGCAGCGUGCCAAGCUGGUCAAUUCUGGGAAGGCUGUCUUAGAGCCCGAGCAGAUAGCCCUCCUCCACCUUUAUCAGGCUGAGAAUGAUGAAUAUUCAGUUAAGAUGAACAAACUCCAGGGAGAAAGGGAUGCGAAAAUUGCCCAAUAUAUGGCAAAAAUUGAUGAGGCCCGCAAGUCCUUCGAGGUCAGCAUUCAAGCUGCAAAGCAGCACUACCCUGUGUCCGCCUCCUAUGUCGCUCUGGAUAGCAAUGAACUCCGCGCGCAGUGCUGGACCAUGUAUCUCGCCCAAUGUCGGAAGGAGGCGAAGGAUCUGAACGCGAAGGCCUCAAACAUCGUCGAGAAGUAUGGGCCAGAGGUCAUACAGCGUCACCUAUUUGAAUUUUGCAGCCAAGAGACAAACCGUCAGGCCCUCCUCAAGUAUGCCCAGACCAAGGUCAAUAACCUGAAAGAGGCAGGAGAUGCCCGUGGAGAAGAUACUCUUCAUGACUACAUGACGCUCCUUGAUAUUGAAAAGGCUUAUGCGCUACUCGCCGCUGAAGAGCAAAUAGCCAAUUGCCCAGACACUUGUGGGGGCAGUGAGGAUGCGGAUCGCGGUAAUAUAAACAAUAUCAUUGCAAGAGGUGAGGCUGCUGAUGGUGCUCGAGGUGAUGGACAAGAUGGGGGUGAAGGUGCAUCCGAAGGUCCUCCGAGGCAAAAGCGUCAAAGGAACGACCAAGACUAUGUUUGGUGGUGA